UACGUAGGGGGCAAGCGUUGUCCGGAAUCAUUGGGCGUAAAGAGCGUGUAGGCGGCCAGAUAAGUCCGCUGUGAAAUCUCGAGGCUCAACUUCGAGCUGUCGGUGGAAACUGUCUGGCUAGAGUCCGGAAGAGGAGAAUGGAAUUCCUGUGUAGCGGUGAAAUGCGCAGAUAUCAGGAAGAACACCCGUGGCGAAGGCGGUUCUCUGGGACGGUACUGACGCUGAGACGCGAAAGCGUGGGGAGCGAACAGG
rnacentral:rRNA from 1 species